rnacentral:rRNA from 1 species
CUGAUGCAGCGACGCCGCGUGAACGAUGAAGGCUUUCGAGUCGUAAAGUUCUGUUCUUGGGGAAGAUAACGACGGUACCCAAGGAGAAAGCACCGGCUAAAUACGUGCCAGCAGCCGCGGUAAUACGUAUGGUGCAAGCGUUGUCCGGAAUUACUGGGCGUAAAGAGUUCGUAGGCGGUUAGAUUAGUCAGAAGUGAAAGGCUACGGCUCAACCGUAGUAAGCUUUUGAAACUGUCUAACUUGAGUACUGGAGAGGAAAGCGGAAUUCCUAGUGUAGCGGUGAAAUGCGUAGAUAUUAGGAAGAACACCAGUGGCGAAGGCGGCUUUCUGGACAGUAACUGACGCUGAGGAACGAAAGCGUGGGGAGCGAACAGGAUUAGAUACCCUGGUAGUCCACGCCGUAAACGAUGAGAACUAGGUGUUGGGGGUCGAACCUCAGUGCCGCAGCUAACGCAGUAAGUUCUCCGCCUGGGGAGUACGAUCGCAAGAUUGAAACUCAAAGGAAUUGACGGA